rnacentral:other from 1 species
GCUGACCUGCUGUGUGCGUAAAACAUCGGAGUGAAAUUUAACCAACACUUAUGAAUAGGGAAUCCUGCUCCGGCUGCGGCGUAAAUGCCCCCCAUAAUUGGCCAGGGGACUUAUAAAGCAGAAGGGCGGAUACCCACCUGCGAAAGCAGGUUAAAUUUUCCCGAUAUAAAACGGCACGGUGGGUUAUGU